UGGGGCAAGAGCGGAUCCAUCUUGGGCCUAGAAGCUGUCAGUAAACUGUGAGGCACCCACAGCAAAGCUGAGAAGCACUGAACCCGCUUUAGUAAAAGAAUUAGGAUCAGUUCAGAUUUCCUUGGGCAUCCUGUGUUUGAUUAGGCAGCCCUGCCCUCAGGAAGUGUGCCCAUAUCUGCGAUUUACUUGGAUUCGUAGAUGGGGAGAUAGGUGAUAAAACAAGAAUAGUGAAUUCAUGGGAGAACUGAAGUGAAUCUACAUCCUCCAAUACAAUGUUGAAUAGAAAUGGCAAGAGCAGACGUCCUUGUCUUGUUCCUGGUCUUUGGGGAAAAGCAUUCAGUCUUUCAACCUGAAGUGUGAUGGUAGCUGUGGGUUUUCACAGAUGCCCUCUAUCAGGUGGAGGAAGUUCCAUUAUAUUCCUAGUGUGUGGACAGUUUUUAUCAUGAAUGGGAAUUGGAUUUUUCAAAUGAUUCAUUUAUAUCCAUUGAGAGGAUCAUGUGGUUUUUGUUAUAUAUUCAGUUAAUAUGGUUAUGAGAUUAAUUGAUUUUUGAUUGUUAAAUCAACUGUUUACAUCUGGGAUGAAUCUCACUUGACCAUGUUUAUAAUCCAUUAUGUAUGUUUCUGGAUUCAAUUUGCUAAUAUUUUCUUCAGGAUUUUUCUACCUAAACUCAUGAUUUUGUACCUACUGGUCCAUAUAUUUCUUAUUAUGACUUUGGCUUUGAUGUCAGUGUAAUGCUGGUCUCAGAGAACACAUUGGGAAGAGUUCCCAACCCCUGUAUUUUCUGAAUGAAUCAUUGUGAAGGAUAAAUAUUAUUCCUUCUUUAAAUGUUUGGUAGAUUUUCCAAUGAAACCGUCGGGGCCAGAGAUUUUCUUUGCGGGAAGAUUUUGAUUACUAAUUUAACUUCUUUGCUUAUUAAAUAUAGGUCUAUUCAGAUAUUUUACUUAUUCUUGAGCCUAUUUUGGUAAUUUGUGCCUUUAUUGGAAUUCAUCAGUUUCUUCUAAGUUAUCUAGUUUGUUGACAUAAAUUAUUUAUACUAUUUCCCUAUAAUCCUUUUUAAUUUCUGUAAGAUUGGUAGUGAUGUUCUUCCUUUUUUUCUUGACUUUGUUAAUUUGUGUCUUCUCUCAUUCUUCUUGGUACUUCUACCUUGAGGUUUGUAAAAUUUGUUGAUAUUUUCAAAGAACUGACUUUUGUGUUCAUUGAUGUUUUUCUCUUGUUUUCUGUUUUCUAUUUCAAUUAUUUCCAUUUCAAUUUUUAUUACUUCCUUUACUCGGCUUGGGCUGGGUUUAGCUUGUUUUGCUUUUUCAUGGUUGAUUUUAGAUCUUCUUUUGAUACAGCAUUUAAAGUCAUAAAUUUCCCCCUAGGCAUUGUUUUACCAACAUGUUAUAAAUUUUGAAGUAUUGUGUUUUCAUGCAUUCCUGGGUUUCAGCACGUUGCCUAUGAUGUGUCUACAUGUGGAUCUCUUUUUAUAUACACUAAUAAGUGCUUGUUUAGCUUAUUAGAUGUGUAGAUUAGUAUUUCUCAACAAAUUUGGGGAGUUGUGGCCAUUACUUUUUCAAACAGAUUUCCUUCUUCUUCCUUUUCUCUUCUUCUGUGAGUGCCAUUAUAUGUACGUUGGUGUGGUUUAUUUUGUCUCACAGGUCUCCAAGCUCUGAUUUUUUUUCAUUCUUUUUCUGUCUAUUAUUCUGAUUUGAUAAAUUCUGUGAUUCUGUUUCCAAGUUUACAUAUUGUGUCUUCUGCCUACUUGAGUAUUCUCUUAACCACCUCUAGUGGAUAUUUCACUUCAGUUAUAUAAUUUUGUACUCCAGAUUUCAUUUUUAAAAUUUUAAAAUUUUGUAAUUUGUCUCCUUCUUGAGAAUCUCUACGUGUAGAUUUAUUGUU
ensembl:lncRNA